UGCAGACAAAAUAGAAAUCUCGUGAAUCUCAGCAAUAUCUUUAAGGUGGAAAAUUCUCGGCUGGAUCAAGGUCAUAAUUCUAUGAACUCUGCUUUGGGGGCUGUUAAUUAAAAAGUCUUUGGCUAAAACCACAUUGAGAGGAAGAACUGGAAUCCAGGACUCAUCCUUCUAGCAGAGUGUGCUUAUUUGCAGAUGCCAGAGUCUGCAGUCUGUGUUCUUCACUAGGCCACCAAAUAUGUCCAGCCUUUAGCAGGAAGACGGAACAAAAUAUCCAAUACAGAGGUUAAUUUCAUCCACUUCUGACAAGACUUUCCUGUUCAGAAAAGAAGGAUUAAUAAACCACAGUCACUCACUGUCUAACCACUAGUCUGCAGCUUGCAUCAAAUACGAGACUGACAUGUCAUUGCUUCUUGUCAUUCAUAUUGUUCACUACACUGAUUUGGUCAUCUCAAAGCAGGAGAGGUGAGGAGAAACUGACAAAAGCUGCUCUACCGCUCUAAUGUUCCAGAGUCUAGAUCCCUCAACAGUCCAACCAGCAUCCUUGCUUGACAGAGAUGGGUGAGCAGUCACUCCUUGGCUGCAUUUCUAGGCUGGAUUGAGGCAGCAGGGAGAUGACUGUGCAGUGGGGAUACAGCCGAUGCUGGUUCUCGGGUACUUCCUGCCCAGCAGUGGGAGGAAGAUGAAAGGUAGGGUGAAGAAAGCAGCUGAGCUGGAUACCAGGGCCAUGGGCUUUGCACCAGCUGUUUACUUGCAGCUCAUUCCAGACAGACCAUUUGCAGCAUCUCUAUAAUAACCAGUGCUGUGGUCUGCACACAGGUUGUCCAUGAAAUGUCUUUAGAGAAAAAGCUGCCCUUUUGGAUUCUCAUGUCUCUAAAAUUACACAAAGAUUGAGCACAGUAAUGAGACUUUAUUUGUGUCUCUUUGAUAAUUAAAUGUGCAAAUCCUACUAAUCAAGAAAAAUAAACGUAUUUCUCCUAGGAGAUAUUAGGAAAAAAAAGUAAAAGAAUGUAGUAUUGUCCUCAUAAAUAACUUUGAAUUUUUAAGAAUGUGUUUAGGCAAAAACACAUUAAAAAUUACCAGGAACACAUUUUUUUCUUCUUUUAUCUCUAUUCAUUAGCUAAGGAUUGAG
ensembl:lncRNA